rnacentral:rRNA from 1 species
UACGUAGGGUGCAAGCGUUGUCCGGAAUUAUUGGGCGUAAAGAGCUCGUAGGCGGUCUGUCGCGUCGGAUGUGAAAACUCGGGGCUCAACCCCGAGCCUGCAUUCGAUACGGGCAGACUAGAGUUCGGUAGGGGAGACUGGAAUUCCUGGUGUAGCGGUGAAAUGCGCAGAUAUCAGGAGGAACACCGAUGGCGAAGGCAGGUCUCUGGGCCACUACUGACGCUGAGAAGCGAAAGCGUGGGGAGCGAACAGG